UGGGGAAUAUUGCACAAUGGGGGAAACCCUGAUGCAGCGACGCCGCGGGAACGAAGAAGGUAUUCGUAUCGUAAAGUUCUGUCCUAGGGGAAGAUAAUGACAGUACCAUAGAAGAAAGCUCCGGCUAAAUACGUGCCAGCAGCCGCGGUAAUACGUAUGGAGCGAGCGUUGUCCGGAAUUAUUGGGCGUAACGGGUACGCAGGCGGUUUAAUAAGUCGAAUGUUAAAGAUCGGGGCUCAACCCCGCAAAGCAUUGGAAACUGAUAAACUUGAGUAGUGGAGAGGAAAGGGGAAUUCCUAGUGUAGUGGUGAAAUACGUAGAUAUUAGGAGGAAUACCAGUAGCGAAGGCGACUUUCUGGACACAAACUGACGCUGACGUACGAAAGCGUGGGGAGCAAGCAGG
rnacentral:rRNA from 1 species